UACGGGGGGGGCAAGCGUUGUUCGGAAUUACUGGGCGUAAAGGGUUUGUAGGUGGCUUGCUAAGUCAGACGUGAAAUCCCUCAGCUUAACUGGGGAACUGCGUCUGAUACUGGCGAGCUUGAGUGCAGGAGAGGAACGCGGAAUUCCAGGUGUAGCGGUGAAAUGCGUAGAUAUCUGGAGGAACACCUGUGGUGUAGACGGCUCUCUGGACCGCAACUGACGCUGAGACACGAAAGCGUGGGUAGCAAACAGG
rnacentral:rRNA from 1 species